AAUGAACGUUGGCGGCGUGGAUUAGGCAUGCAAGUCGAGCGAGGAGAGUUGGUAGCAAUAUCGAUUCAUUCGAGCGGCGUAAGGGGCAGUAAUACCUGGGAACGUACCCUGAGGUCGGGGAUAGCUGCUGGAAACGGCGAGUAAUACCCGAUGAUCUCGAGAGAGCAAAGGCUUGCCGCCUUCGGAGCGGCCCAGGCGAUAUUAGCUAGUUGGUGGGGUAACGGCCUACCAAGGCAUAGAUGUCUAGCGGGUGUGAGAGCACGACCCGCGCCACUGGCACUGAGACACUGGCCAGACACCUACGGGUGGCUGCAGUCGAGAAUCUUCGGCAAUGAGCGCAAGCUUGACCGAGCGACGCCGCGUGCGGGAUGAAGGCCUUCGGGUUGUAAACCGCUUUGGUCCGAGAGAAAGGGCAACUUGAUCGAUCGGAGAAACAAGGACGGGCUAAGUUCGUGCCAGCCGCCGCGGUAAAAC
rnacentral:rRNA from 1 species